GGGGUUGUGGCUCAGAGGUAGAGCACUUGCCUACCAUGCAUGAGACACUGAGUUGGAUCCUCAGCACCA
rnacentral:tRNA from 1 species